rnacentral:rRNA from 1 species
UAGGGAAUCUUCCGCAAUGGGCGAAAGCCUGACGGAGCAACGCCGCGUGAGUGAUGAAGGUCUUCGGAUCGUAAAACUCUGUUAUUAGGGAAGAACAAAUGUGUAAGUAACUAUGCACGUCUUGACGGUACCUAAUCAGAAAGCCAUGGCUAACUACGUGCCAGCAGCCGCGGUAAUACGUAGGUGGCAAGCGUUAUCCGGAAUUAUUGGGCGUAAAGCGCGCGUAGGCGGUUUUUUAAGUCUGAUGUGAAAGCCCACGGCUCAACCGUGGAGGGUCAUUGGAAACUGGAAAACUUGAGUGCAGAAGAGGAAAGUGGAAUUCCAUGUGUAGCGGUGAAAUGCGCAGAGAUAUGGAGGAACACCAGUGGCGAAGGCGACUUUCUGGUCUGUAACUGACGCUGAUGUGCGAAAGCGUGGGGAUCAAACAGG